CCACAUGCUAUCGGAUGCGCCUACGUGGGAUUAGCUAGUUGGUGAGGUAAUGGCUCACCAAGGCGACGAUCUCUAGCNGGUUUGAGAGGAUGAUCAGCCACACUGGAACUGAGACACGGUCCAGACUCCUACGGGAGGCAGCAGUGGGGAAUUUUGGACAAUGGACGCAAGUCUGAUCCAGCCAUUCCGCGUGCAGGAUGAAGGCCCUCGGGUUGUAAACUGCUUUUGUACGGAACGAAAAGGUUUCCAUUAAUACUGGGAGCUCAUGACGGUACCGUAAGAAUAAGCACCGGCUAACUACGUG
rnacentral:rRNA from 1 species